rnacentral:lncRNA from 1 species
AACGUACGAAUCACGUUUUUGUGAAAAGAAACAGUAAAAAAGCAACCCAACAACAGCAAAAUGAACGUUUUUAGGUCAUUGAAUUGAAGAUUGAAGCUUGAAACUCCCACCAUUCAAAGCUAACACUCUCACUCACGCUAAUUUGUUUCUGUCAAAUCGGUUUGUUACUUAACCCACUCACGCUAAUUUUAAUACUCUUCGUUUUAUUGGGGGGUUUUGGGUUUCAUUAUUAUUUGAUCAUUGAUUUUACUAUUAUUCUUUUUCGGGUAUUGUUUGAUGAAGUUAAGAAUCUGCAUACACUUUUGAUUUUAAGUUUGUAUCUGAGUGUGAUUUAGUAGAAUUUGUGACUUUUCACAUGAUUUGCAUUUUCCAAAAUGCUGGUGGAAAGAAAAUGGACUCCAAGAAACUCAUCAAUUUGUGCGACUUUUGUUUUGGAAGCUUUUUGAUGCUCUAGAAAUCUAUUUGAAAUGGAUUUGUGCUAGUUGUAGUUCUUAGAAAUUUUGGGUUGUACCUAACUCAACCCUACAAAAUCAGCACUAUUGGGUCUGGUUUGGUGCGUGGGNNNNNNNNNNNNNNNNNNNNNNNNNNNNNNNNNNNNNNNNNCACCCCCUCACCCCAACACUAUUGGGGCGUGGAUAUAAAUGGUAGAUGACCUAGCAGUGAAAACUUGAUAGCGGCCCAACGGAUCUUGGAGAGACUCUGAUAACGUCUUGGAAAUUUUGGGUUGAGCUUAACUCAACCCUUCAUAACUGGUUUUUUUAAGGUGAGGAUCGCCCCAUGUAUAAAUAUAUGGUCACGCCAUCUCUCAACCAAUGGGGGAUAAUUAACAGUAGUAAAGAAGCUUUAUGACAAAGAUGACUCUUUUAUGAGAAUGUAACCGACUAAGAGCAUGUUUGGAUUGACUUACUUGAGUUUAUCUACUGUGGAUUGACUUACUUGAGCUUAUCUACUAGCAUAAGAACUUGUGAGAUUGUUUGAGUGAGCUUAUAGAAACAACUUAUGACAUGUUCAUAUGUUGUUUUAAGCUUAUUUCCAUAAACUAUUAUGGAUAGCUUAUGUAAUGUAAACAACUUAUAUGAAAACAUUUUGACUUUAUUUUACCUUCUAUUUAUUGUAGAAAUUAUACGUAGGCAUUUCUACAAUGAGCACUUAAUUAAGUUGUUUAUACAAACAAGGCCUAAUUUGAAAUGUGAUUCCAUUUUCAUAGUCUUUUUAAGAAGAAUU